GAGGAAGUCACUCCGUAGCCACUGCUUUGGGAUUUCUGCCCAUGGAGCAGGGUCAGAACUGGUGAAAACGUGGAGGGAAAAUGUGCCCUGGAUUCUAGUUCCUGCCCUACAUAAGGCAGCCCACCAGGGGUACCAUGUGGAGGCAUGGCCCAGGUAACCACCUCUCCUAUUUGGUAGCACUGGAUCCAAGGACCAGAGGUCUUGCUGAAGGAACAGAUGUGAUCUCACACGAGUGUAAUCUUGCCAG